rnacentral:rRNA from 1 species
AGCUAAUACUUGCUUUAGCACUCUUGAUUAAGUUCUUGAGUGUGUACUUGUUAAGCCUUUUAAGAAAAAAGUUAUUAACUUAAGGAAUUAUAACAAAGAAGUAACACGUAAUGGAUCCGUCCAUUUUUAGUGUGUAUCAAUCGAGUUUCUGACCUAUCAGCUUUUGAUGUUAGGGUAUUGGCCUAACAUGGCUAUGACGGGUAACGGGGAAUUAGAGUUCGAUUCCGGAGAGGGAGCCUGAGAAAUAGCUACCACAUCUAAGGAAGGCAGCAGGCGCGUAAAUUACCCAAUUCUAAAGAAGAGAGGUAGUGACAAGAAAUAACAAUACAAGGCCAAUCUGGCUUUGUAAUUGGAAUGAUGGGAAUUUAAAACCUUCCCAAAACUCAAUUGGAGGGCAAGUCUGGUGCCAGCAGCCGCGGUAAUUCCAGCUCCAAUAGCGUAUAUUAAAAUUGUUGCAGUUAAAACGCUCGUAGUUGAAUUUCAAAGAAUCGAUAUUUUAAGUAACGCUUUUAGCUUAAUCCACAUAACUGAUACUACGUAUCGACUUUGUGCGCAUUUUGCUAUUAUGUGUUCUUUUAAUUAAAAUGAUUCUUUUUAAGAUCUUUCUUUUGCUUCGGCAUUUGAAGAUCUUGUUACUUUGAGUAAAUUAGAGUGUUCAAAGCAAACAGAUAUAGCAUUGCGCGUUUGAAUACUACAGCAUGGAAUAACAAAAUUGAACAAGUCAGAAUUUUGUUCUUUUUUCUUAUUUUGGCUUAGUUACGAUUAAUAGGAGUAGCUUGGGGGCAUUUGUAUUCAGAUGUCAGAGGUGAAAUUCUUAGAUUUUCUGGAGACAAACAACUGCGAAAGCAUUUGCCUAAAAUACUUCCAUUAAUCAAGAACGAAAGUUAAGGGAGUGAAGACGAUCAGAUACCGUCGUAAUCUUAACCAUAAACUAUGCCGACUAGGCUUUGGAUGAAAGAUUUUAAAAUAAGA